GCUGGCCGACGACCGCCACCGCCGCCAGCCUGCUCGCCGCCUCGCCCGAAGCCCCGCGUCCGGUGCCGCCGGCCGGCCUCUCCCUGUCUUCUGUGAGCGGUGAACCUGUGGCUGUGAGUCACUUGCAAGAGCAGAAGGGGGUCCGAGAGUAAAAAAGAUCUGUGCAUCCGCAUUGUGUUUCGGCCAGACGGGAGGAUAUGAAGUUCCUGGGUUGGUACCUCAAGAUCGCAGCUGGCGGCGCGACCAUAGGCGCUGCCAUGGAGCUCUUCAUGAUCCACACUGGCUUCUAUGAGAAGGUAACUGUGUUGGAAUCAGAAAAAAGAGCAUGGGAAAGCAGCCCAGAGGCUCAAGCUAUGAGAGAAGCCUUGAAUCCAUGGCGGAAGCAUGAUGAACAAGAGAAAAGACAAUCCUAGAUUCGUGGGCCACACUUCUAUAAACUGCAUUGCCACCCUUCAUUUGUAGCCCUUCAUGAGGUAAUUUGGAUGUGGCAUUUUCACAGUAGGUUAAGCAGUAUUAUCACCUUUCAAAUUGUUGGAUGGUGCUUCUACAAAUGCUUUCAAAGAAUACCCCCGUAUGUCUUGUUUGUUUAUUUCAACACUCAUACAUGCAGAUGGCAUGCCAUCUUUAUCUGAUGUCCCAUAAUAACAAUGAAAUUAUAGUCUUGGAGAGGUCAAAUAAGUCUAUUUUGUUGUGCUACAGUUACUACCUUUUUCAUGUGUUUGCUAAA